GCCAACACGCAAGCUGAAAAUGUGAAUUAGAGAUGCGCAUCAGUGUGGACUUAGAGGCAGGAAAAAGCAAUUCGUCAGUAUAUUUACGGCAUGCAAAUCAGUGUGAUACAAAUAAUCACAUGCAAUAAAAUACCGAAGUCUGAAAUCGAUAAAAGGAUUUUCUCAGCUGAUUUGUAGCUCGAUAAACAAAUUCAAAAAACCAUAAAAGGACUUGUUCCACUUAAGAACCUCGUAAUUAGUCAUGUUUCUGGUGGAGAAUGGGGCCAACAUCAAGAGGCCAAAUGUGAACGGCGGCACGUCUCUCAUUAACUCGGUGCAAUAUGUCCAGCUCUUUUUGUACUUUCUGCAAGACGGACAUUCGGAAAACGAGUGGAGGCUGAGGUCCUCUGCAGCGGCAACUCCUCUAGACAGUGCAUCUAGUCGGAACACCCAGUGGCUUGCAUUUAUCAGCAGCACAUCUCCAUCAAAGGGAGAUGUCCAUCCGCCGAUGAUCUGCUAUCGCCUGCCACAAUUAUACGCAGCAGCGCACAAUAUCCGCACGUUAGCCUGCGGCCUUGCUGUUCGUUACCCGGCCAUGGGUGUCAUUAACGAUUUUACAUCAGGAAGGAGUGAGGAGUUACGCGUCUGUGGGACGUCUACGGACGGGACAACAACGAACCUGAUAAGAAGUCUUUGAUCACGUAUAUCUUGUCGAUGCACGAUGUGUUCCCGGAGCCGCCUUGAUCCAUUCAUUGCAGAGCUCAUUUGUGCAGCAUUGUGGCAUUUGCCAGCAAAAGCUUGAUGCUGUGACUUCUGGCUUCGAUCUGGAGCACCCCCCGUUUUUGAUCUGUAGGGGUCAUGAAUCGACUCAGUAUGUGUUGGAAGGCGCCUUGCUGAUCAGCUGCCUAGACAGCUGACCGCAGAACGGACAAGUGUAGAAGUCAGCCGAGGUCAGGGUUGCUUAAUUUUGACAACCUAGAGGGCGUAACCUCCCCAUGCAAGAGUGCAUGCAAAUGACAAGCGGCCAGAUCAAGUUUCCGGCUUCGAUCUUUUCCUGUGCGACAAUCAAGCCAACAAGACGUGUUUUGUAAACAGUGAAAAGUUUGCCAUCCGCGCCGAAUUACACUACAUAAAGUCAAAAGUGUGUACAGUGCCGGAAGGUGUAUAAGUGUAGCCGUUUCUGCUGGAACAACCUCUUCUGUGGGCGUUCCAACCCAGAGGACCGCCAGAGGCUGGAUUAAUCUGUGAACAUCCACGGAUUCCGCUGCCACUGCGCAAAAGAUAUUCUGCGGAAAUUGCGGACCAGCUCUUCGGAAAGACGCCGCCUUGCGCGCCCCAGCCUAGCGCCACCCGUGCUAAGGCGCCGCAAGGCACCCCCACGUUUGCGGCACCAAAGAGUGACCAGCAAAGUGGAGUUCUUCGACACGCCUAGAAAUCGCUGGCGUCAGCACUCUGAUUCAUCAUUUAUCCUGGAUCCGCCGAGGGGCCCGUAGAUUCCACGUGCCGCAUCAACGAGCGAUCCACUGCUCGUGGGCUGAGAUUCUCGUCCCGUUGGCCGCUCCCCGUCCCCAGCCGGCGCACAAGUCGCCCGACGAGGCGUGUGUGCCGACAAAACAAGGCGCGUACGAGCCGUGCCACAUUUAAAAUAUUUAUAAACAUUGAUAGAAAUACCGAAAGAAAACUCAAUAUACCGUUCCCGCUUCCAUAGAGCCCUGUAUUAAUAGAGUUUCGUCGACAUAUAAAAAGAUCUCGGUCCGUGGUUAGAAAUGGCGCAUUAAAGCCGGUGGUGAGGAACAAUUAUGGCCCCAGAGAUGCCCUGAAUAAUUAAAAUUAAUAGUUACGUUUUUUUGGAGACCAGAUGCCAGUUUCAGUAUCAGUAUCAGUUCCAAAACAGACCAAUGAAGUUCCUAAUAUUUAGCUUUAAUUAUUAGUAUGGCCCGUUCGUAUUAAGAAUUUAUAUAAAGUAUGGAAAAUAGAUAGAGGAAAUUGUGAGAAACCUAAGAAGUACCGAGAAGAAAAGGAAAAACAGAAAUUUAAUGGUUCUAGGACUAACUCCGUAUGAGGAAAGUCAAAGGUUGCGAAAAAUAAUAAUGUAAACGAAAGGAAGGAUAAUGUUCUAUUUCAGAGUCGCCGGGAGAUCGAUCAUUCGCCGAUGGAGGAGCAUGACUGCGUGAGUACAAUCCUGCGCCUUUCGUUUGAUUCUGGUAGUUGCGCCCGAUCCUACAUGUACAUGAUACAUGUACAUAUAUUAGAUAUAAAGACCUAGCAUUAGAAAAUUAUGCCAUCUCCGAUUAUAUUAGUUUUAACCGUUUCUCGAACAAAUAUAUAAUGAAAUUCAGAUAAAGAUAA